rnacentral:rRNA from 1 species
AUUGAACGCUGGCGGCAGGCCUAACACAUGCAAGUCGAGCGAGCGGCGGACGGGUGAGUAAUGUAUGGGGACUGCCCGAUAGAGGGGGAUAACAACGGGAAACGGCAGCUAAUACCGCAUUCUAUCCGCUUACCCUGUGGGGAUUAGCUGGUGGGUGAGGUAAUGGCUCACCUAGGCGACGAACCCUAGCUGGUCUGAGAGGAUGAUCAGCCACACUGGGACUGAGACACGGCCCAGACUCCUACGGAGGCAGCAGUGGGGAAUAUUGCGCAAUGGGCGCAAGCCUGAUGCAGCAAUGCCGCGUGAAUGAAGAAGGCCUUAGGGUUGUAAAACUCUUUCAGUCGGGAGGCGUUACCGACAGAGGAAGCACCGGCUAACUCCGUGCCAGCAGCCGCGGUAAUUC